AUCAAGGCUCAGGAUGAGAGGAUGAAUCAUCUGCAUACUUUAUCCAAAGGGAACUGGGCUCUCUAAGCCCAAGGCUCUCAUGCGAUGUAAAUAGUGAAGCCGAAGUCUAGGAUGUCAGGGUGUUAGGGAGCUCGGCUGUGCUUGCAAAGCAGGAAUGCUGAGUCAGUUGACGGAGGCAGAUUUUGAUGAGUGUUGUGAAUUACUGGUUUGGCAUGGAACAUGAAAUGGCUUUGUACCAAAUCUUUGGCGAGGAGAAAAGGGCUGGCACGGGCAGAGACCCCCGCUGGCUUAGAAGAGGACAAAGCUGACUGGAUGGUGGUAUGGAGGCUGGCUGUAGAAGAAAGAGAACAGUGCUGGGAGUUCUGCAAGCUGAUUGGUUACUGGAUCUGCAACGUGCUCGUGUCUCUUCUGAUUUUCUUAUGGCGGCCGUCACCUCCACUAUGGAAAGAAAAAUGA
rnacentral:lncRNA from 1 species